ACGAACGCUGGCGGCGUGCUUAACACAUGCAAGUCGAACGGAGUGUUUCAAAAAGCUUGCUUUUUGCAACACUCAGUGGCGCACGGGUGAGUAACACGUGGGCAACCUGCCCGGAAGACUGGGAUAACACCUCGAAAGGGGUGCUAAUACCGGAUACCUUCACGAAGUCGCAUGACUUUGUGAAGAAAGAAAUUCGCUUCCAGAUGGGCCCGCGUCCCAUUAGCUAGUUGGCGGGGUAACGGGCUCACCAAGGCGACGAUGGGUAGCU
rnacentral:rRNA from 1 species